rnacentral:lncRNA from 1 species
AAAGAGAAAAAUAGCUCAUUACCUUAACCAAAGUAGCCCAUUAACCCAACCAAAAUAGCCCAACAAUUGAUGAAGUUAGCCCAUUUACUUGAUAAACCAACUUAUUGUCCUAGAAGACCCAAGCAACCCAAGAAAAUAUCUGCAAAUCUCUAGCACCAAGCUAAAAAACAAAAGCCACGAUGUAAGCCAUAAUAUCCAUGUGUGUAAGCUGCUGGGAGGCUCCAACAUAUGGGGGAGAACAAGUUUCAAGCAAAAACAUCCAAAAAAACCAAGGGAUACUUGAGCAAAACACCCUUCAAACUAGUAUACAUACCCAUUUCUUUCCCCCCAUCAGAUCUAGCCAUAGAAGAGGGGAGAAAAGAAGGAAGAAAGAUGGCUAAAAAUAGGAGUUCUCCACUGAGGCAGCUGCGGGAAGAACAUUGAGCUCCCAAAAAUUCCUGAUUUUGUGAGAUUGGGUAGAGGAGAUUUUUUUCCAUUAUAAGAUAAGUCAAAGGAAGGGAAAAGCUUGGCCAAAUUGGAUAGAAACCAUUAGGGUUUCUUGAAAAAAAAUAGCUUCCAGCUCCUAUAAAAAAAGGCAUUUCCUACCCAUCAUCUCAACACACAUCUGGAUAGCAAACUUUAUCUCUCACCUCUGAAACCUCUGCAAUUUCGAGCCUCAUCCUUCCAUCUCUUUCCAUUUUCCCUUUUGGUAAACUUUUCCAAAGCUUGACAGAGUUUUCGUCGAACUGCUGGAAACUACCCAACACACCCACUACUUCAUCGUUAGCUAAAACAACCACAUCCAGAGAGAAAGUUUCCUCUCUCACCUGCAAAACCUAGCAAAUUCGUAAUCUAUUC